ensembl:lncRNA
AUGGGGCUCCCUUAAACAAAGUCCUUCACACGGAUAGCCAGCAAGGAGUUCCAUUUCUAGCUUUGCCUGACGCCCUCACCCAGCUAGACUCUUUGUUCCACUUGGGAAAAUGUUCCAGGAGGCUUUGUGUUGUGGUGGUGGUGGUGGUUUAACUUGAAGGUUUAAAGAUUUGAAUGAGAAACACAAGAGCCACAAGGACUUGAUCAUUUGGAACAUUUUCUUUUUUGCUGAAAGGACUGAGAAAUGAAUAAGAGCCAGAAAGACUGAGGUCAUCACUCUGAUUUACUCUAAGGAGGCUCUUGUAAUAGAGACUGAGGUGAUAGAGAUGAAUGAGCAUGAUACUGGACUUGGGGAGCCAGGCUUCUUGUCUAGUUCUCUUCUAAACUUGAUAUAUUGUCACCCUGCUUAUUUAACUUCUAUGUAGAGUACAUCCUGCAAAAUGCCAGGCUGGAUGAAGCACAAGCUGGAAUCAAGAUUACCAGGAGAAAUACCAAUAAUCUCAGAUAUGCAGAUGACACCACCCUUAUGGCAGAAGGUGAAGAGGUGCUAAGGAGCCUUUUGAUGAAGGUGAAAGAGGAGAGCAAAAAAGCUGGCUUAAAAUUCAACAUUCAAAAAAUGUAGAUCAUGGCAUCUGAAUGUAGAUCAUGGUACCUGGUCCCAUCACUUCAUGGUAAAUAGAUGGGGAAACAAUGGAAACAGUGACAGACUUUAUUUUCCUGGGCUCCAAAAUCACUUCAGAUGGUGACUGCAGGCAUGAAAUUAAAAGAUGCUUGCUCCUUGGGAGAAAAGUUAUGACACACCUAGACAGUGUAUUGAAAGCAGAGACAUUACUUUGCCAACAAAGGUCCAUAUAGUCAAAGUUAUAGAUUUUCCAGUAGUCAUGUAUGAAUGUGAGAGUUGGACCAUAAAGAAGUCUGAGUGCUGAAGAAUUGAUGCUUUCGAACUGUGGUGUUGGAGAAGACUCUUGAGAGUCCAUCUGACUGCAAGGAGAUCAAACCAGUCAAUCCUAAAGGAAAUCAACCCUGAAUACUCAUUGGAAGGUCUGAUGCUGAAGCUGAAGCUCCAAUACUUUGGCCACUUGAUGAGAAGAACUGACUCAUUGAAAAGACCCUGAUGCUAGGAAAGAUUGAGGGCAAGAGGAGAAGAGGGCAGCAGAGGAUGAGAUGGUUGGAUGGCAGCCCCAACGCAAUGGACAUGAGUUUGAGCAAGCUCCUGGAGAUGGUGAAGGACAGGGAAGCCUAGCGUGCUGCAGUCCAUAAAGUCGCAAACAGUCGGACAUGAGUAAGCGACUGAACAACAACAAUGAAGCUAGAUAUCAUAUGCGAGUUACUUCAGUAUUCUGGCCCUUCACUUCCUCAUUCAGCAAAUACUUGCUGAGCUCCUGCUAGGUGGUAGAGACUGUUCUAGGCACCAGGACACAAAGAUGGAUAAGGUACACUUUGAGACCACGUACCUGUGUCUGGAAUGUCAGGCAGCUGGGUCUCAGGACAGCUGCUGAAGCAGUAAGCAUGGCCCUGCUGAGCGUGGGCAUCAUAACAAUAGAGGUACCCAGAAGCAGGAGGCAUGGAGUGUGGAAGUGAAAUGAUGAAUAUUCUGUCGGAUGGUGUCAGGGAGCCAAAGGUGGCAGUCUUGACUUGGCUUUGUGCCCUUGGACAAUGCAGACUGUUCCUUGGGCCGCUGUGUGCAAAGCCGGUGUGUGUGGAUCUGGGUGGGGUUUCAGGUGAACCAAUUCACCCACGGAGCACCAUUUUUUAUGACCAAUGACCAACUGUCUAAGACUUGCAAAUAUGUGGGCUCACUUUAAGCCUUGGAAGUUUGGAAGUCAAGGAGAGUCCAGUAAAUUGGAAGCAAAUCUUUUCAUAAAAUCAAACCUCUGGUUCUAUGGAGUAGGGGGCUUUUCUUUUUCUCCCAAGGACCUGACAUGCUUUCGGCUCUGACACUUACUAAACAAAUGUAUGAGUGAAAAAGCUUUAUGGAACUUGGGUGUAUAUCCUAGGGAGCAUGUCCUAGGUGGGAAAUUGGGAAAGACUGGUGAGCAAGAGCUGAACAUUUUAUCUCAUCAAAUAAUAAUGACACACAGAGUGUUGCAAUGGAGUGAGUAGUCUCAUCAGCACUUUUAGUCAUCGAGAGGACUCACUGAGAGCCUGGUUGGAGUCCAGCUUUGGAGGGGAAGAACGAAGGGAACGCUGUCCCAGCCCCCUCUCCAGGGCGCUCUGAAGAGAUGAUUAUCCUGCAAGCACAGAGACAGGGGAGGAAGAGUUUUGCACUGGGGUGGGGGGCAGGGAGAAGGAAGUUCGGAGUCAGCGAUUAGAAGGAAGAGCUUCAUUUCAUAUUUUGUGGCUGACAGCCAAGCCAAAGAUUUUCUGAGGCUCACCUGCCUUGUUGGUAAAACAGGGAUUCAGAGAUGCUCCCCUCCCCUUGAUUUGAAUUUCUUCCUGCUAGAGAAUGCACUUGUAUAAGAGAUUUACUUAAAUAGAUACUUUCUUCUUUUAAAAGCACAAAUACAUUCCUGGUAGGGCCAAGUCUCUUCAGUCUCUCAACCAAGAGAAACACAAAAUAUCUUCUCACUUAAACUUGAAGGGGUCCUGAUGCUACCUGCCCCUGGAGAUGGGAAGAAGGGUCUCCAGAUUGGGCUUACUUGAUUGACAGGUGCUGAAAGUAAUGAUUCAGGAAGAGAUGAGUGGGCAGGUCUAAUCAUACAAAUAUCUGUGCAGCUAAUGCUGUGAGGAAACUGGUAAGGGCUUGCUUGAGCUCUGUUAGAAGAGAAAGCAGGUCACCUUUGGUAGGUAGCAACUGUUGGUAGCAAUCCAACCCUCCGCAGAGAACAGUCAGGGGCUCCUCUUGGCAAAAGAAAAGCUGACAGGAGAAAGACCCCAGCUUGGGAGAAAAACAGACACAUCUUUCAAUAUUGGCUGUGCUCUGAUCGGUGACGCUUGUUAGUUUCAUCAGUAAAGUAGUGAUUAUAUUUAACUCAAAGUAUGGUUGGAAGGACUGAAAUAGAGGAUAUAUGUCAUUUCCUGGCAUGAAGUAAACAUUCAGCGGACUUCCCUGGUGGUCCGGUGAUUAAGAAUCCUCUUUGCAAUGCAGGCGACACAGGUUCCAUCCCUGUUUGGGGAACUAAGAUCCCAUGUGCCACAGAGCAACUAAGCCUGCUCGCAACUACUGAGCUCAUGCACUUUAGAGCCCAUAUGCCUCAAGAAAAAGAUGCUGCAUGAUGCCACUAAGACCCAGUGCAACCAAAUAAAAAAAGAAUGAAAAAACUGUAAAUUACAGACAGUAUUCCCUGGUAGCUCAGCCGGUAAAUAAUCUGCCUGCAAUGAGGGAGACCUGGGUUCGAUUCCCGGGUUGGGAAGAUCCCCUGGAGAAGGGAGUGGCUACCCACUCCAGUAUUCUAGCCUGGAGAAUUCCGUGGACUGUAUAGUCCAUGGGGGUGCAAAGAGUCAGACAUGACUGAGCAACCAUCACUUUCACAGACAGCAUUAUGGGCUGAAGACUCCCAUAGGUAGGAGAGUUUAAACUCAUGGCUGCAAGUAGAGAAGUCAGGAGAGGACCUGAAGAAGAAAGGGCAAGGGUAACAGAUGAGAUUUCUGACCAGGAGAACGGUUGCAACAACAAGUAACAUGGCUUUUUAAUAGGCUAUCUUAGUUAGAGGUUGGUGCAUCCGGUCAAAAAGGAGCCCAGCCUGAUUGGGAUCUGGGUAGGAAAGGCAACAUUGCUGCUACCCCAAGAAGUCUCAUUUGUAGGGCUCUACUAUAUUUGGGACAAAAAGCGGGGUUGGGGAGAAUAGCAGGGGAAGAGCAAGAUAUGUCAGAUCCUGAUGCCGGAGUUGGGACAUGACUGACAGAGGAAGCACGGUGUCAGAAAACUGAGGGUAUUUUUUACAACACUGAGUGAAUGAUAAAUGGUUUCCUUAAAAUAUAGCCCUUUGCCCCAAAACUGGUUAAGUCCAACCUUUAGACUCCAGCAAGCUUCAGGUUCUGAUACUGCCUCUCAAAAUGUGUGACAUAGUGACAUAUACUCUUUUGUUUUCCCAAGAGAGAAAUGACUUUCUUUUAAAAAGGAUAAAACUAACACUUACUGCUUGCAAAUAAAUACAUAAAUAACACAGGAGAAUAUAAAGAAAGUGAAAAAUCAUUUUAAUUUUCAUUCAUUUGAUUACCACUGAAGUAGAACUCCUGGUAAAUUUGUCAUUUCUGCUAGUGUGAAUUGCUCACAUUACUUCUAUGUCACUCUUAAAAAAAAAAAAAACUAUUUAACUGAUCUGUGACUUGCCUUCUUACUUCUGGAUUCGUAAAAGGGUCCACUAUAGUAAAGACAUUAAAUUUUUGUCAUCAAUUUCA